ACUUGACCAGCUGAUAGCAAGGUUCACUGAUCGCGCACAUCAAUGCACUGUUCAGUCAGCUGCAGUGACUAACAACACUGCCUUGCUAGCAUUUGUCAUCUCCAGGAAGGUGGAGGAAGCAGAGCUGCCAGAGGAGCUGAAAGGCUUUCUCUGUAAAGCCGCUGACGCGAUUCUGAAUAUGUGCGCCACUUCAGCGGUGUGUUCCUCUCGCAUCGCUGCCUGGCAGACGAUGGUUCAGAGGGCAACCUGGCUCCGCCUCUUCCCUCCAACAUUAUACAAUCUCACAGGGAAAUAGUGCAAGCAAUUCAUAACAUAAAAUUUAGAAGCUUAACAUAAAGUAUUAUCUUCCACUAAGGCUUUAGUCUGCAUACUGAACAACUCCACUUAUAUGGAUUUAUGUCUGGAUGAGUAAAUUAAUCUUUUGCAUGUUAGAAAAUAAGGUCCAGGUUGCAAAAAAUGGUAGUUUCACUUAAAGAUUUUUUUUUUGAUUGAAUCAGAAUUUUGGCCUUCAGAUUUUUUGGCCUUGGUUUUUUGUCCUCUCCCAUCCAGGUCAGUGCAGAGUUUCAUAGGAUCACGACCCUGAACCUUGAACCAAAGUUCAUGUCAUCAUUGGACUUGUAUUCAUCCAAACUCCUGUCCUUGUUUCAAGCCAAGAAAGGUGCUGCUGGACAACGCCACAGGGCACAGUUAAACCUUCUGCUUCAGAGUGGAAAUUCCAUCGAGAAAAAAACGAGAAGUCAUCAUCAGAUGUCUCAUUGACCAUCUGGGAGAGGAUCCAAGUGCCUUAAUCAAAACCUUUGAGGACGGUGCUGAUGCUGUCUUUGUUGAAGAGGCUUUGGCUGAGGAGGUGAUGAAGAUUUACCUGCUGUAGAAUCAAGACAGGUCAGGCGAACCUACUGAUGUGGGUAUUGUUAUUGAAGGCGUUACUGUUCUGGGCAAACUUGGGAAUCUGAGCAAAGCCUGUUGCUAUCUUUUGGGACUGUGCUAUGCUCUGGAUCUGAAACACCCCAAGAAUCUCAAAUGCACAUUUGAAGCAUUUCAAAAAGUGUUCAUGGAGCUGGAUCCAGGAAACCUUUCUGUCAAGGUUCAAAGACUGAAAAAUGACCUCUGUUCAUUGUAGACAAAAUUUCACAGGGCUGUUCUUAAAGUGUUAGACUUGUUAAGUGACAUGUAAUGCUCAUCAAAAGGU